UGGGGAAUAUUGCACAAUGGGCGCAAGCCUGAUGCAGCCACGCCGCGUGUAUGAAGAAGGCCUUCGGGUUGUAAAGUACUUUCAGCGAGGAGGAAGGCGUUGUGGUUAAUAACCGCAACGAUUGACGUUACUCGCAGAAGAAGCACCGGCUAACUCCGUGCCAGCAGCCGCGGUAAUAAGGAGGGUGCAAGCGUUAAUCGGAAUUACUGGGCGUAAAGCGCACGCAGGCGGUCUGUCAAGUCGGAUGUGAAAUCCCCGGGCUCAACCUGGGAACUGCAUCCGAAACUGGCAGGCUAGAGUCUUGUAGAGGGGGGUAGAAUUCCAGGUGUAGCGGUGAAAUGCGUAGAGAUCUGGAGGAAUACCGGUGGCGAAGGCGGCCCCCUGGACAAAGACUGACGCUCAGGUGCGAAAGCGUGGGGAGCAAACA
rnacentral:rRNA from 1 species